rnacentral:rRNA from 1 species
UACGAAGGGGGCUAGCGUUGUUCGGAAUUACGGGGCGUAAAGCGCACGUAGGCGGCUCUGUAAGUUGGGGGUGAAAUCCCGAGGCUCAACCUCGGAAUUGCCUUCAAGACUGCAGGGCUUGAGUUCGGGAGAGGUGAGUGGAAUUCCCAGUGUAGAGGUGAAAUUCGUAGAGAUUGGGAAGAACACCAGUGGCGAAGGCGGCUCACUGGCCCGUAACUGACGCUGAGACCCGAAAGCGUGGGGAGCAAACAGG